rnacentral:rRNA from 1 species
GACGAACGCUGGCGGCGUGCUUAACACAUGCAAGUCGAACGGAAAGGCCCUGCUUUUGUGGGGUGCUCGAGUGGCGAACGGGUGAGUAACACGUGAGUAACCUGCACCUGUCUUUGGGAUAACUUCUGGAAACUGGGGCUCUUACCGGAUAGGAGCUCCUGCUGCAUGGUGGGGGAUGGAAAGUUUCGGCGGUGGGGGAUGGACUGGCGGCUUAUGGGCUAGUUGGUGGGGUAGUGGCUUACCAAGGUUUUGAAGGGUAGCCGGCCUGGGAGGGGGGACGGGCACAAGGGGACUGAGAGAGGGACCAGAAUCGUACGGGAGGCAGCAGGGGGAAAUAUGGCACAGUGGGCGGAAGCCUGAUGCAGCAACGCCGCGUGCGGGAUGACGGCCUUCGGGUGGUGAACAACUUUCGCCGGUAACGAAGCGGGAGUGACGGUAAUGAGUAAAGAAGCACCGGCUAACUACGUG